CCUACGGGGGGCAGCAGUGAGGAAUAUUGGUCAAUGGGCGCAAGCCUGAACCAGCCAUCCCGCGUGCAGGAAGACGGCGCUAUGCGUUGUAAACUGCUUUUCCAGGGGAAGAAAACCCGCUACGCGUAGCGGCUUGCCGGUACCCUGGGAAUAAGCAUCGGCUAACUCCGUGCCAGCAGCCGCGGUAAUACGGAGGAUGCGAGCGUUAUCCGGAUUUAUGGGGUUGAAGGGGUGCUAAUGAGGAAGAGGAGAAAACCUUCAGCUUAACUGGAGACUUGCCAUUGAUACUGUUAGUCUUGAGUACGGUCAAGGUAGGCGGAAUGUGUAAUGUAGCGGUGAAAUGCUUAGAUAUUACACAGAACACCGAUUGCGAAGGCAGCUUACUGGGCCAUUACUGACGCUGAUGCACGAAAGCGUGGGGAGCGAACAGGAUUAGAUACCCUAGUAGUC
rnacentral:rRNA from 1 species